rnacentral:tRNA from 1 species
GCAGCGGUGGUUCAGUGGCGGAAUUCUCACCUUUCGUGUCAGAGACCCGGGUUUAAUUCCCAGUCAGUGCA